GUGGAAUGUUCUGCAUAGAAGACAUCCCCUACACCAAACUGAGUUCUGAGUCGUCGGAAUUUGAAUUUAGAUUUUUGUCUUUUUCAGCUUAAAGUGGGACACAUUGUUUAACUGAACUCCUUUUCCUCUGCACAGAAGACAUCCCCCACACCAAAUAUAAAUUUGGGAGCUUCAUGUGGGAUGUGUUAAAGAGACGACUCUUUCUGCCAUCGUAUUACUGGUGCAAUGCAUAGAAGACAUCUCCUACACUACAUUUAAUUUUGAGUCGUUACAAUUUGAAUUCAGAUUUUUGUCUUUUC